AAUCCCGCGAGAACAGGCAUCAGGAUCUCACGAGAACAAAAUCUUGGUUUUACGUGGGCGGAGCCAUCUUCCGGCUGUCUUUCCUCUAGGAAGCGUGUAACACGAAGGUCCGCGAUAGUUGCAAAUAUCGCGAGGUUUAAUAUCGCUUGCCAGCCUGGUGUAGGUCCCCUGGCCACCUACAGAGGCGGGAAGUUAUUCCUGGGAUUAGACCUGCUGUGGGUCUUUUAAGGACCGGUAGGAAGGCUGACGGCUUAGCAAGAGGCCGUCGGCCUGGUGAUCGCAGCCUUCCGGCUUGUACUUGGUGCUUGGUUCCCUUGUCGCUUUGCCAGCGCUUGGGAACUUUCGGAACUGAGCAAUUCCCUCCUGGAGUGCCGCCUCAGCCGUGUGGGAGGGACGCCGUCGCCUCCGGAUACCCAGAGGAGGAUGAGUGAAGCAGCAUGUCUUCUUAGGUUUUCAGUCAAGGGCUGUGUUCUCUCUACGUGUGAGUGUCUGUGGUCCUGCCUGCAGAGAAGGCAGCAGACGGCAAGUGCCGGCUUCUUGGGCUGCGUGCUGAGGCCUCCAGCAAGGUCUGUCGCAUCCAGCCUUUUAUCCUUAGCAUCGCACAAGUGUCUGGCAUAUGGAGCUAUCAUGAACUACCAAAGUUUUUUGAGCGACAAGGCUGAACCAAAACCCAGGUAACUUACUUCCUAUGCAUCUCCAAACUCCUGGACAUUUCUUGAAAAUUCGGUGUUUGAGGAUCGAUCGAUAUGGCAGUCCCACAUUCUCCUAUAGUUCAACCCACUCUAUCGCUUCUUGACAGAGACAAGUGAAGUUCGCACAGACACACUUAACGUGGCUCUGUUUCUCCAAGUCUUGGAGGCUCUAGCAACCCUGGUGGGUACCCUGGAAACACCACCUAUGUCUGAGCAGAGGAACCGCAUGUCUGUAAAAUGAGAUUCAAGCUCAGGAUGCCCACCAUGAAUGCCUGUUUGGUGGCUCAUAGGCUCCUGAAGUCAUCAGGUACCGCUCCUAAGAACAUGCCUUUGGUUCAGUGCAUGGUGUUUCCAUAGAGAAACAGAUGAGAAUGCAGGAGCACGUGUUCACAUGCAUUUAGUGAGGAAGAAUCACGGCCCUGUCAUGAGUAUUCUUGGCACAAACAUCCAAACCAUAAUGAACACCAGAGGUACAUGUUUAUAAGGACCACCUUCAGCUUGGUGCUAUCAUGUUGUCGAAAGUGAGGCUGGAGAUGAGAACUAUAAAAUUAAAAUCGUAUACACCGAUAUGCCUUCCCUACAGUGUUUUCAUGCAAGUUCAAAUCUGUCUGACUUCUUAGAGUGAGUUUUCAACAGCUCAGUUGGAGAUCUCAAGAUUGUAAAUUUGGAGAAGAUGAUGAAAGGAGAUUACAAUCUGCCCUUCUCAUUCCAGGCAAGAGAGCAUCUGAAUCACUUCAGGAAGUCCUUGGUCCAAUCCUACCUCUUUCCUUGUCGAUGUUAGUAUACCCAGAACAUUACCACAGGCGGUCGUGAUUGGUGGCUAGAGCUCGCAUAAGAAAGGAACUUGAGAAAGUAGAAACUUGAGUAAAAAUCAGGGAAGUGACUCCAUGACGAAUGAGCAAGUCACUCAAGUAGCAGAGAAAAAUCCCAGACAGAAUCAGACUGUCCCAGAAAAGGCAUUUAAAUGAUGAUGGGCUGGUCCCCAAAUCAUACUUCCUUCUACAACCCGACGCGAUCAGCAUGCCCACCAUGCUGCAGCCACCUGCACAAACCACACCACUCUCUUUACAGCCACCCAGCCCACGGGGUCCUCGGUGUUCGGUGGCUCAGUUCCCCACCAGCCAUCCGCCAUUGCUCCUGCCUUCUCAUUUCCCCUCGCUUAUUUGGCAAAACUGUCCAUCUGCUCUGUGGUCCACUGGAUUGCUAUCCUCUCCUUCUUUCUGUAGGAACAGAAUCCCCACAUUUCACUGGUCACAUGGCAACCUAACCUUAGGACUACAUUUCCCAGUCUCCCUUGCUAUGUGUGGUCACGUGACUAAGUGAUGGGAGGAAUAUAUGCAAUUUCCAGGUCAUGUCCUUAAAGGCAGUGGCUGUGCCUUCCCUGUUCUCCUUCCUACCGGCUGUAAUGCAGCGCCACUGGAAGUGUCAGGGAGCCAAAUGGACCCAAUGAACACCCUAGGAGAAGACGGAGUAACAAGGGGGAGAGAGACUGGCUCCCUGACCAUCUAUUCUGUAUCUAAAUGCAGCACUGCGCCAAAUCAUUUUUAUCACUUUUGCAGCCUACCCUCAAUGCCAAAGCUCUGCUCCCACAGCGUUAGUGCCUCAGUGAGGCCGCCUUCCAGAACCCUCCGCCAAGUCCUAACUUUCCCCAUGUUCGUGGUCGUGUUGUGCACUGCCGUUGGACUUCUCAGUGCCAGAGGAGUGGUGGUACUUGGUCCGUGUGGUUAGCUCUUCAUUAAACUGAACUAGGAAGUAUGCUUCAGCUCAUAGAAGGUGUUCGGUAAAUGCUUGUCAAGUGAAUGCAUGACCAAGAGAAAGUCCUGCCACUCAAUGCAAAAGAACCAGUUCAUGGAAAUUUUCUCCUUCAAAUUCUUUAAAAGAAUGAUCAUCAUCAUCAUCUUACAUUCAUUUAAUCAAUGUGUAGACACUGUACUAGUUAGCUGUCCAAUGCACUGUCUUUUAAUCUCACAAGGACUCGAUAAACUAUAUAUUGUAGCUAUGAUUAUGAUUAUUCCCAUUUUACAGGUGAGGAAACUGAGCUCAGAGAAGCUAAAUAACUUGCCCUAGACAAGUUAAGUGGCACAGCCAGACUCACAGCUCUGUCAGUCUUGCUCUAGUGCCACAAGCAUCCUUAACCAUUGUGUUAACAGUGACGGUUUAAGAUAAAGAAACAGGUAAGUGAAGAAUGAAUUUCUUGAGUGCUUACUGUUCAGAUUUGCUGGGUGGGGAAGUGCCCCCAUCCCAACCUAGCCCUGGAGGAAGCUGGGGCUUGGAGCACAGAUCAUGCAGGGACCACAGUUUGAUAUCCAAGAAUGCACAACCCAGGGUUCUGGGUAUCUAGAUUUCCAUAAAUUCUUAAUGGUUCUUUGAAAUUUUUUUUUGUAUAUAUAUUUUUUAUUGAGUUAUAGUCAGUUUACAAUGUUGUGUCAAUUUCUGCAAUAAUGUUGCAAUCAUACAUGAACACACAUAUAUUCGUUUUUUCAUAUUCUUUCUCACCAUAGGUUACUACAGGAUAUUGAAUAUAGUUCCCUGUGUUAUACUGUAUGAACUUAUUGUUUAUCUAUUUUAUAUAUAUUAGUUAGUAUCUGAUUUUUUUUUUAAGCACAACAGCUCACCUUUGCAUAGCGCUUCAUGGUGAAUAAAUGCUCGUACAAACUCUAGCCCUGUAAUACGAUUAUUCUCAUUCUCCAGAGGAGGAAACUGAGACCCAGAAAGAUGUGACUCGGCUGGUAGGUGGUUAAAUAGACAUCUAAACACAGGAUUUUUGUUUCCUUCACGUCUCAUGCUCUUCCUAGUUACCAUGUUUCAUCCCUUCUGUCCCUCACCCACUCCCUUCCCCGAAGCAUGCUUCAGAAAAAUGAUGAUAGACUUGCCUUUACAGAGGGCAAAACAAAUAAUGCUAAGUUUUAAAAUACUUUUUUGAAGUGUUGUUUUUUUCGAGGCAUCCAUCCAGUCCCGUUAGCUAGGAAAGCUGUAGAAAACACAAGCGUUUAGUUUGCAUUUUGAAUUCAACUAAGGCUGGGAACCGUGCCACUGAUGGCUUUCCCCUUAGGUGGCCAACCUGCUUACAUUUUUCUAGUACCUUUGGGAGUUGGCCCAAGUCAUCCGAAAAAUCAUCCAGAGCCUGGAGAAAUCUACUGUCCGCGCAUCGCCUCCUCCCACAAGAUACGUGGUUGAGGUCAAGGUGAGGAACACCAGCAGAGCAGGCGGGCUGCUGCUAUGACGCCAGUGGGGACCCACACUGGGCGCUCAAAGGAUGCUGGUUUCCAAGGGAGCCAAAUACGCAUGAAGUGCCCUCUUUUAUUGCUCGGUAUUCAGACAGGUCGGAUCCAGAGCCCACUCACCUACCUGGAUGCUGAACUUUUUAGUGGAAAAUUUACCAGAUGCAAACAGGGGGUUUUUGUACGAGGUGUUUUCCCUGGACCACGGUUUUGUGGGAAUCGGGGUGGGGGAGGAGGACACGCUGCAGACAAAAGGCUUGGCGGUGGGGCCCUGCUGGAGAACUCAAGCAGGGCCGAAGCUCAGAAUGACGGAGAUGCUUGUGGUGACAACCAAGUCUGCCGGGAAGAAUGUGCCCAACCGCUCCCAGCGGGGAGCCGGCCGCAGGGGAAGAGGAGGGAGGGCGCUUGGCUCAGAGGGGAGACCUUGUGGGAAGAGGUGUUGGGGUUGCUCUCGGGAGCAGCUGUUUGGCUUUGGCUGGCCUGCUUUCUGGGCCCACCGGGGGCCGUGGAAACACGACGAGGCUAGCCCGCCACCCAGCCCAGGUAAAACUGAGUCCUGCUAAAGAGACAGGAAAGGGGUCAGGCCCAGAACAGCAGGCCAGGGCAGGGCCAGGGGUGAAGAUGCAGGAGGGGGGAGAUCUGUGGGAGAAAGUGUGAAAGAGAAAGGGGCAGGGAGGGGGAAGAGGGAGAGAGGAGAGAGGAAAAGAGGGACUAGCUCAAGUGGUAGAGCACGUGCUUAACAUGCAGAAGGUCCGGGGUUCAAUUCCCAGUACCUCCUCUAAAAAUAAUAGAUAAACCUAACUCUUUCUCUCCCCUCUCCCCAAGAAAGAGGGAGACAGAGAAAUCAAAAUUAUUCUUGCAGGAGGGGUAAUCAGGUGAAACCAGUUUAAAGCCUUUAAGAAUGGGGGCUCCCUGGCUCUCCGAGAGACGGAGCUGAGCAGCUCACUGCUGUUUCUCUUCUGAGAGGUGUUUCCUGGCUGUCUGUCGGCAGGGAGGGAGGUUUGGAAAGCCUUCAGGAUAAGCAACAGUGGGAACACCACGCUUUCACCGGGGAGGCCACACACGGAGCCUGUGCACAGAGAAACACACACACACACACACAAAUAGGCGCAAACAAAACGAAAUCUCCAUUCAGUCCAUCUUUCAACAGGAAGCAAACACAUGGCAAACAUUGCAAAAUCUGGGCUUGGCAGGCGGUGGCCUCGGGGUCUCUAGGUGGGUCUGACAGCAACGGGGAGAUGUUAACCCUUCGUGUGCCGCUUGUCAUUUUGGUCUUCACCUGAGAAUGAAGGCAGUGGGUUUCCAGAAAGUCUCAAAAACAAUGAAAAGUGGGGAUGGAUGAAGUGUGCAAUUAAAGGAGAGAAACAAGACCCAAACUGAAUCUCCAAGUGGUAUUAAAAUCAAGUUAAAAUAACUUUUUGAAAGUCAGCGAUUGCAAUAUUGAUUACUUAAUAUUUAUCCCAACUUUAGUAAAUGCACAGGAGACUACAAGGAAAGGGUUGUGGGGUUAGCUAGCUCAGGGCUUCUUAAACUUGAAUAAACACACAAUCCACCGAGGGGCUGGUAGAAAUGCAGACUCUGACAGUCAUCUUCUUUGGGGGGGAGUAACUAGGUUUUAUUUAUUUUUAAUGGAGGUACUGGGGAUUGAACCCAGAACCCCAUGCUUCCUGGGCAAGUGCUCUACCACUGAGCUAGCCCCUCUCCCCACCUGCAGCCUCCGAUUAGGGAGGUCUGGAGUGGGGCGUUGCUGACAAGCGCCCGAGUGAUGAUCACUGUGGCUAGUGAGGGUAUACGUGGAUUUUUUUCUUCUUUCUACGCUCUGGUAUUUUUAAAUCUUCUAUAAUAAACAUGUUACUUACUUUGACAAUCAUGAAAAUGUUUUCCUUUUGAAGAUGAGGUGUUGGUAGAUUAAGUCCAGUGCCUCAUCUGACCAGAUCCUGGAAGAUGAGACUCCAACAGGGAAGGCAAAUCAGAGCUUUGAUGCCCAGCCCGGAGUGGGGGGUCGCAGGGAUUCCCCGGGAAGCUUUACAGAGCAUGUGCCCCCUGGGGACUUGUCGGAAUGGGGGUGGGGCUGUGUAAUCGGAGAGCUCCGGGACCACACACCGCGCGGUCGGUUCCCCAGGGCGGGGAGCCCCUGCGCAGCGGGUCUGCGCAGACGCAGACGGUGCGCGUAGCUGUCAUCCAGACCCAGCCUGCGUGUGGCUGCGGUGGCAGAGUAGAAACAUACUGUAUUGUGUGUUCUCAACCAGUAAAACCCAAGCUGUACACGCUCAUCUAGAGUAAAUCAAGCCAUUCACUGCUCACACUUUGUGUUUGUGCUGAAGAAGCCACCCCACAGCUCGCUUUCAUACAUCUGAUGGAGAGACACAAAGAAUUGGUGGUGACCUUGUCGCUCUCCUAAGACACCGGACAGCUGAGGCGGGUAACCAGACAGGACCCUCAGACUAUGGGUAAAGCCCGUAGGUUUACAAAGUGGGUCUGUGGCACCAAGAAUCUGACAGUUGAAAAUACCAGAUAAAUUGGCAUCUUGGGAGUCCUUCUGUCCGUGGGAGAAGUCAGAAGCAUCACUAUCCAAAAUGUUCCUCUUUUGUGGAAUCACAGAGAACUUGUGCCAUUCAAACUAUGGUCACAGAUACAGCAAUAUUAACUGAGUCAUCAAUAACAUGAACAGGAGCAUCUUCUCGUCGUCUCGUUUCAAGGAUAAGGAAAAUGAGAUGGGCUGGUCUGUGGACUACAUCUUCUAUGUAUUAUUUGAUUAGUCAGAACUCUUUCAAUUCAAACCGGUAGAACCAAGAAAAUGGGAAUUUACUGAAUCACGUAACUGAAAAGUCUAUCUUCAGGCAUAGCUGUAUCCAGGGACUCCAGUGAUGCUAGUAAACCUUAGCCUCCUUCUUCCCCUCUCAGUUCAGCUCUCCUUCACGUUGGCUCCUCUAUCAGGCAGGCUUGCAGUUGGGGGACAGAUGCUAGGAGGUUCCUGCUUGCUCGUCAUCCUCGCUGAAACCCCAGAAAAAGAAAAGUCUCUGCCAUGAUAGUUUAAACAAACAUCCCCUAUUGGAGUCUUUUUAGCUGGACUUGGAUCACAUCCAGGAAUCUGGACCAAUCUCUGGGACAUGGGGGGGCCCAGUCCUCCAGGCCUUGGGGCAAGUGUCCAGCACUGGAUCCACACAUGAAUGUAGUUGGAGAUUUAAGAGCAGAGAACUGAGAGCUUUUCUAGAAGAAUAUGGACUAUAUAAUUAAGA